UACGGAGGGUGCAAGCGUUGUCCGGAAUCACUGGGCGUAAAGGGCGCGUAGGCGGCCUGGUAAGCGUGCGGUGAAAGCCCGGGGCUCAACCCCGGGUCGGCCGUGCGAACUGCGAGGCUGGAGCACUGUAGAGGCAGGUGGAAUUCCGGGUGUAGCGGUGGAAUGCGUAGAGAUCCGGAAGAACACCGGUGGCGAAGGCGGCCUGCUGGGCAGUGGCUGACGCUGAGGCGCGACAGUGUGGGGAGCAAACAGG
rnacentral:rRNA from 1 species